AUUGAACGCUGGCGGCAGGCCUAACACAUGCAAGUCGAGCGGCGCGGCGGACGGGUGAGUGAUGCCUAGGAAUCUGCCUGGUAGUGGGGGAUAUCGUCCGGAAACGGGCGCUAAUACCGCAUACUAGCAGAUGACCCUAGGUCGGCUUAGCUAGUUGGUGGGGUAAAGGCCUACCAAGGCGACGAUCCGUAACUGGUCUGAGAGGAUGAUCAGCCACACUGGAACUGAGACACGGUCCAGACUCCUACGGGAGGCAGCAGUGGGGAAUAUUGGGCAAUGGGCGAAAGCCUGAUCCAGCCAUGCCGCGUGAAUGAAGAAGGUCUUCGGGUUGUAAAGUUCUUUCGGUAGCGAGGCGUUAUCUACAGAAAAAGCACCGGCUAACUCCGUGCCAGCAGCCGCGGUAAUUC
rnacentral:rRNA from 1 species